UGAUGACUUUUGGAACACGAU
rnacentral:snRNA from 1 species